rnacentral:tRNA from 1 species
AAGUAAAUAGUUUAAAAAAAACUUUUAUUUUGAAAAUAAAGAAUACUUUUAUAGUUUUACUUU